CGGAGCGCGCCCCGAGGCCCGGCGAGCCGGCGCUGGGGGAGAAGUCGCUUCCCGCUCCUGCGCGAUCCGUCUUCCUCGGCUGCGAUCGGUCACUAAAAAUGGUGCGAAGCGGCCGCGGCUGCUGCACGUCUGGGGAGGAAGUGGAGGCCAGAGGUGCCGAGGCCGGCGCCCGCCACCAGCCGGGUCCGCGGCCGGCUCGUCGCCCGGAGCCUAGCGCUGCCUGGCGGGGCCUUUAAUUGGGUGUCUCCAUUUUAAUAGUGGCCAUUGUUGGGGCAAUUAGCGAGAGACAAUAACCGCCAAGAGGCGUUUAAUUCGAUCACUUGCGCUGGCUGCGCCCGGCACCGGGGCGCUCUGGAAGCAGAGGCCGGGCGGGGAGGCCCUGGUUAGGUGCCGCUCUCUGCCCCGGCGGUUUGAUCGGAGGUGUGCGAGCUCUAAGGGGGCAAAAGUGGGGAGCAGAACGCGGGCACCCAGGUCCUGGUCCAGGGCGGAGACGCGAGUCCUGGGCCUCGCCGGCCCCGCAGGGCGCCUCCCGGGCCGCGCGCGUCCACGCGGCGACCACCACCACGCCGGGUGCCCGGUGCCUGUUCGGGGGAGAAAAGUAGAGAGCCCACGGACGUGGGAAACGGGCCUCCUUCCCCCGCAGCCCUAGAGCCCCCGCCUCGGUCACUCAGGCUCCUUCCCAUCGGGAAGACGGAGGAACCCCCUUCUGGCGCGUGCACACCUUCCCCGCCUCUGCCGUGGCCCCGGGAUUAGGUUAGCGUGGCCGGGCGAGGAUUUUUACUGGUGACGAGAAUAGCACAGGUAAAGCUGUAUAAACAGCUCGCAGGCUGCGGGGCGGGCGGGUUACGCCGGGGACACAGCCCAAGGCGCCACCGCCGGCGUGAGCUGCACCGGUGAAAUGGCCAAGGAGCCCGCUUGGACGCGGCGCCCUGGGACCGCGCAGGGUCAACGCACCCCGCGUGGAACCUCCGCAGUUCCCUUCCAAGCCCCCUGCCUCUUUCCCGCAUGAAUAGAAACGCAGAGAGUGGGGAGAGAAACCAAGGCGAGGAGAAAGAACAGGCAGUGGCCGGUGCUGGCUGCUCUCGGAUGAAACGCGGCUAGCGGCGGACCUGGGGAACGCAGAGAAAAAGGGGCCCCCAAACCUCACUGUCAGAGGGCAGAUGUUGGCGGCGGAGACGUCAACGGGGAAACCCACGGGAACUCAGGCGAGAAGAGCUCCGGACGCGCAGCUCGCCUCCCGGUUCCCACGCCCACCCGCCUCAGGCUCAGGGUCUACCUGCCCUGGAGAGGAGCCACCGCCUUGGGGGUGGUGGGUGGUUUGAUUUACUUUUUUUUUUUUUUUUUUUUUUUUGCUUAUUCAUCUAUCACUGUUUAAAACUCGGAAGGAAACCCGCCCAGGCCAGGAGGAGCAGCUAGAGAUGGGGAGAGUCAAAGAGAAACGAGAUGCGCGCAGAGAUUACCCCCUCCUGCCCCACUCCCCACCGCCAGGUUGGGCCCUCCAGCUUCGGGGGAUCCUUGCCCUCCCUCUGCCACUACCCUCUUCUCCUGGGGGGUCCUCAGACCAGUGUGCUGAAGCUUCCGGGACUCCCGGGAAGGGACCGGCCCAGGAGCCAGGAAGUAGUCACCAGCGCGGGAGUCACCCGUGUGAAGUCCAGGCCCCAGUAUUUUUCGGACGAAAAGGGGUGCACUUGGACCACCUGCUCCAUUCCCCUUAGCACGCCGCCCUCCUGUCUUGUGGCCCCUGGCCGACCCCAGCGCGGAGCCCCAGGCGCUCACCCUGGCGACUCUCAGGCCGCUACAAUUUGGAGGCUUAAUCUUGGAGCUAUUGUGUUUUUUCACUUCUCUGGAUUAGCCAGGAAACCCGGGUGUGCUCCUUCCCGGAUCAUCUACACUGGGCUUCGAGGGAAGGAGGGAAGGGGAAGUUCCUCACAGGGAGAGGGAACACGGGGAAAGAUCGUUUCAUUCAGAUCAGGAGACAGGAGCCGUCAGCUUCCCAAAGCACGAAUGGUUCAUAUGUUCCUUUGGACACGCUGGAGCCCCCACGGUAUAAUCUGAAUGCGUGGGGCUCCGAGCUGUUUGCAGACGGCUUCCCUUCCCUCCGGGACUGCGCCCACCCGCCUGCCUCUCCCCACCAGGCCUCUGCCUCGCCGUGCUUGGCUCUCCACCGCCUGCCACUUCGUGGACCUCAAGCAAGUUGUUAUAUAAAACAAAAUAGCCACUACACACAUGAGCCUGCGGACCCACAGCAUCGGACACCCAGGGAGACCUCCGCACUGGCGCCUUGGGCGACGCGUCUCUUUCUCUCCCUUCAGCGGCCGCACCCCGCCACCUCCUCUAGUCCCCGCUGCCCAGCGACAGCAACAAGCAAAGUGAGUUCGGACUCGGGUUCCAGGGCUUCCUUGGCCGGAUCCCUGCGAUCGCUCCCUCCGCUUACCCCAACCAUUAAGAAAACGGUGAUCAGAAAUAUUGGGUCCACACACAAAGACAGACUGCAAAACGAAUGCACAUGUAUGUGUGAAAAGGCUCAGAAGCGAAGGAAACAACACGGCAGUGCAGCCCAGAAAUGAUCGGAAUAGCCGGGGGCCCGAGAGCACGGGGCUUUGGGAUUCUGCCCUGCACACCUCAUCAGGAUCCCUAAUUCCCUGGCGCCUUCCAGGGUUCCCAGAUACAAAUCACCUUAAGUACCCAAAGAAGGGCUCUCAGCCACCAACCUCCACCUGACCUUCCGUAGGCUCUCUCUGUGUGGCCCUGAGCUGCCGGGGCGGCCCAACAUGGAGGCUCCACCAAUGAGUGCCUGGGGGCGCCCACUCCCAUCCACUCACUGCACCCCCGACUUACCCCCACCUCAUAUAUCAGCUGCAAAAAAAAAAAAAAAGAAAAGAAAAGAAAAGAAAGAAAAAGCAGAGUGGAAAUAUCAA